rnacentral:lncRNA from 1 species
GUUCAUUACUUUAGAACCAUUUGUUGAAAUGACCAUUUUUUCUCCAUUGAAUUGCCUUUUGCCUUUGCACAUCUGUUCAAAAAUCAGCUGACUCUAUUUGCCUGGGUCUAUUUCUAGACUCUGUUCUGUGUCAUUGAUUUACAUGUCUAUCUUUUUGCCAACACCACACUGUAUUUUUAGUGACAGAGCAUUGCUCUGUUGCCCAGGCUAGAGUGUAUUGGCACAAUCAGCUUACUCAUUGCUGCCUUGAACUCUCAAGAUCAAGUGGUUCUCCUGCCUCAGCCUUCUAAAGUAGCUGGGAUUACAGGUGCAAGGCACAGCACCCAGCUCCACACUAUCUUGAUUACUGCAGCUUUCAAAGACAGAGUUUAGUUUUGUUGCCCAGGCUGGAGUGCAGUGGUGUGCUCAUAACUGUCUGUAGCCUUGACCUCCUGUGCUCAAGUGAUCCUCCUGCAUCAGUUUCCCAAGUAGCUGGGACUACAGGUAUGCACCACCACACCCAGCCAAUUUAGACAAUUUUUUUUAUAUAGAAAUUGAGUCUUUGUUGCCCAGGCUGGUCUCAAACACCUAGGCUCUUGCAGUCCUCCUGCCUCUACCUCCCAAAGUGCUG